rnacentral:tRNA from 2 species
GCGGAUGUGGCGAAAUUGGCAGACGCGCUGGAUUUAGGUUCCAGUGGGUUACCCCGUGCAGGUUCAAGUCCUGUCAUCCGCA